UAAAGGCGCAGCGCCCGGCGCGCCGCCGCCGCCACCGCUGCCUCCCGGGCCGCGCUCGCCGCCGCCCCUGGCCCCUGGGAGGGAACUUGCGCUUUGCCGAAUGGAGCCCGUCGACCCCGUCUGGGUCCGUCUCAAGGCGCACCUGAGUCGAUUUCUAGGUUCCAGUAACUCCACCUCCCCAUCUCUGCCCGACUUUCCCUACCGGUCACCCCUUGCCGUAUGGAAAGACGAGUUCCGCGGAGGUCUUCUAAGACUGACUGACUGCCGUUGUGGAGACAGAUUUCCCCAGCAGGAGAAGGGAAGCGAAAAACUGAGAUCAAUUCCUGGGCGUUGUGCAGAAACAGAACAGCCUUGUGAGAUAGGUUUGUCUACCUGGGAGGGAGCAUAGGUGCCCGGGGAGGCAUGGUUCCCGGCCCCAGAGUAAACCCCUAAAAGUUUCCCUGCCCUCGGAUAGGGCUCUUGCCUUGCACGUGGCUACCCGGGUUUGACCCCGCCCCCCCGUACCCCAUGUGGUCCCCCCAGCCCCCCAGGAAUGACCCCUGAGCACAGAGCCAGGAGUAUGUGACCCUAAAACAAAAUUAAAA